AACGAACGCUGGCGGCAGGCCUAACACAUGCAAGUCGAACGCCCCGCAAGGGGAGUGGCAGACGGGUGAGUAACACGUGGGAACAUACCCUUCGGUUCGGAAUAACUCAGGGAAACUUGAGCUAAGACCGGAUACGUCCGCGAGGAGAAAGAUUCAUCGCCGGAGGAUUGGCCCGCGUCCGAUUAGCUAGUUGGUGAGGUAACGGCUCACCAAGGCGACGAUCGGUAGCUGGUCUGAGAGGAUGAUCAGCCACAUCGGGACUGAGACACGGCCCAAACUCCUACGGGAGGCAGCAGUGGGGAAUAUUGGACAAUGGGCGAAAGCCUGAUCCAGCCAUGCCGCGUGAGUGAUGAAGGCCCUAGGGUUGUAAAGCUCUUUCGUCAGGGACGAUAAUGACGGUACCUGAAGAAG
rnacentral:rRNA from 1 species